UCAGCUACCAAACUUCCCAAUGGAUCAGAGAAUAGUGAGCCACAGACUAGACAAACUCCUGAGAGACGUGCCUCCUGACACACACUCUUGGUGAUACGGCCACCUGCUUCUUCUGCCUCCCGGGUAUUCUCUCCAGCCCUCUCCUCUUGUCUCUCUUCCCUGCUUCUUGUGUUUCUCACACUUUUAUAAUUAGCCUCACGGCAAUCUCCCUGUCACUCCCUCGGGGCCUGCAGUUUGGCAGCACAGCCCGUGAGCUGUUUUUAUGAAUGGAGAGAGAGGUGGGCGGUGAGUCCGGAGGAAUGCCCUCCUUGUAUUUCACCGGCGAAGACACUGAAUCAACUUCAGUGCUUAGAAAAUAAGGACUAAGGGAGCCUUAGAGCAGUGGCUGGGAUAAACUGAGGAGGGUGUGGAGAAAGCAGCAAGCCCUGGGGUCUGCUUGCUUCCUUGGGCCCUCUGGAAAUAUUCAAAUUUCCUCCAGUAACCCAAUACUUCCCCUGUACCAGGUCGGGAAGGACAAGGGCGACAGCCUGGUGGUGCCUGCAGAAAAUGUUGCCUGGCUGGCUGACCAAGCAAGCCGUCUUCAACCUCCCAGCCCUGCACUCAGAGAGGCACAUCUGGCUUCCAGAGUGACCCUCUGGAAGCCCUCACCACUCCUAGAACCUCUAGAUGGGUUGUCAGAGCUGAAGAGAAGAAAGCCUAACAUGAGAGCAACCAGGGCUGAGGAGACGGCAAGCCCUGCUGACAGUGGCCAGGCAGAAUCCCUUGCCCUUCAGCGAGGUUGACAGAUAUUUGCUUCACAACAUUCUAAGAGAGGGAAGCCGUGGUCAUCAGUUACCUGCUGAGAUUGGGAGGACACUGUUGAUGAAAGUUGGCUGCGACACGAUGGAGCAGAAGAAGAGUUGGAGAUAAAUUCCCAAAGUCAUUGGAUUCAGGACAGCCAUGCUGGCCGGGUCUGUCUGAGGUAAGUGGCUACGGAAAAGAUGAGAAAGAGGGCAGCCAAGUCUCCAGUGUUUACCUCACCACCCUCAAGGGCAGAUGGACUUCUUGCUCCAUUGCCCACCAUCAGCUAUAGACUGGGAACGCACUGUCCUGCCCUACCACUGAUCAAGUCUCUGGCAUAAACUGCCUUCGGUGUGGACAAGCUGCAGGUCUGGGACAGUCUCACCCACCAGUAGCAAACUCAAGUCUCGAGUUGAGCUGGGACUUUCUGCUGGGGAACUUGCACUUCCAAACAGCUGUUGCUAUGAAAAGAUACCCCACCCCACCCCCCACUCCCCACCUCCAGAAGCUGCAACCCUUUAACCUCACACAAAACAAAGCAGAUGCAAACAGUGAACGCACGUUGAAGUGAGCCAUUCGCUAUCAAAUUGUUCUUGGAGCAACGACAUCGUCAACUUAAUCUUGGUUAGGCGAAAUUUCCUGAAACAAAAGUAAUUCCAGGGGCUAGGGAGAUGUCUCAGCAGUUAAGAGCAUGUACACGCAAAAUUUAGUUUCCGGCCUCUGUGCACUGUAGCUCACAACUGCCUGUGGCCCUAAGAAAGGAGAUCUGAUGCCUCUGAUGUCCCAGGGCACCUGCGCUCAUGUGGACAUACCCCACCCCUACCCCAUCCUACCGCACCUUCCAUAAAGAUAAAUAAAAAACAAAAAAUACUAUUAAAAGAGUUUGUAAAGACUAUUACGGUGAUCCUUAGAUUAAAAAAACCAAUUAAAAUACUAAUCCAUAUUCGAUUAGCUUUAAUUUAUAUAAUAUACUCAUUGUAAAGGUUUAUUCAGAUCCAGUGAGUACUGGUACUCAUCUGGGGCAAGGUAAGCUGAGGCCGGGGUGGAGAGUAUGACGAUACCACGCUCUGCAGCUCAGAACCAGACUUGGCCCUGAUUCAGCUCUAAGUGGCUGAAGACAAACUGUUUGUUCCCCUGUACGCCUCUGCUGUCUCAUCCGAGAGACAGAGAUAGUUCCCUUCACAGGGUUGUUGGAAAGGUUAAAUGAGAAGCUGUGGGAUGAAUUGUACUCAGGCUAGAACUUAGAGGCAGGACAGUGAAAUCCAAAGAGCUGUGGUAGGCGAGGUACAAAGAUGCUCGUCCAAAUACCUUACAUCUCCAGUGUGUACGUCAUUCAAGUACCAGAAAAAGAGCAGAAAUAGCUAAUUGAUAAAAAGCUGAUGUAGUCACCACAGUGACAGCUGCCCUUUGGGGCCCCUCAGAGACGUGCCUACAAGCCUCCACUCUUUAAGGAAUUCUUAGGGAAUUUCUGCUUGCCAGUGUAUUUUAUGAGCCUCUUUCCUAUGAUACUCCAACUACCCAAGGCAGAAUGAUCAUUUUAUUCAGACCCUUCCAGAAGGACUGACUCCUGCAGAAUCUAGGAACUGAGGCCAUGUGUCCAUGAGGAAGUCACCUAGCAUUUGAGAGAGGCUCACACCAAUGAAGCCAAUCAGAACCUGCCUCCUAGACGGUUCAGAUAGGAAUGUUGGCUGGAGAAUAAUUCCUGUUAAAAAAUAGGUACCACCGUACUGAGGAAUUGUGGGAAACAGUCAACUGCCCAGUGGCUAGGUUCAAAAAUAUACAUUGUUCAUCGGAAUGAAAAUAGUAACCCAUGGUAUGCAAUCAUUGAAAAAUAUAGGAAGGGAAUAUACAUCAGUGGUAGAGCACUUGCCAAGAAUGCAGGAGGCCCUGGGUUGGAGUCCCUAGCAUAGAAAAAAAAUGCAAAAAUCUUUGUACCAAGAGGUGCUAGAAAAAAAUGGAACGUCAACAUACAAAACAGAAAUGAAGAGUAACUCUUUCUUACCUUAGCCCACCUGUUAAGAAUUAGCUCAGGAGAAUGAUGGUUUGUAUAUGCUUGGCCUAGGGUGGCACCAUUAGGAGGCAUGACCUUGCUGUGUCACUGUGGGCAUGGGCUUAAGACCCUCAUCCUAGCUGCCUGGAAGUCAGUCUUCUGCUAUCGGCCUUCAAAUGAAGAUGUAGAACUCUCAGCUCCUCCUGCACCAUGCCUGCCUGGAUGCUGCCAUGAUCCUGCCUUGAUGAUAAUGGACUGAACCUCUGAACCUGUAAGCCAGCCCCAAUUAAAUGUUGUCCUUAUGA